GCUCUUCUGACUCUUCCAUUUGCUUCUUCUCCCUCAUCUCUACUGCUCUCCUUCAUAGACGUCGAUCGAAACCCCGGGCUAGUUAUCGGAGUAAGUAGAGAAGGAAGGAAAACCCGAGAAAAAGGAUUAGUACUGGUUCAGAAUCUGAGAAGGAAGACGGGAAGAGAGAGACACAGGGCGGCGGACUGACGUCAUUUUGAUUUUCUGACGCAUACGUCUCUUCUAUCAAGCAAGGCUCUCAACUGAAACCGCAUCACCUAGCCUCUCAUCAAGAUUCCGGGUUAGAAAUCGAAGCCUCAAUCGUGCAAGGCUGCUUGGAAUUUGAUUCGGGGAUAUGAGUGUGCUGAUGCUAAAGUGAAGGAGUUGUGACAUUCAAUUGAUGUUCUAAAAGCUGAAAGUGAACAUUUUAUCCGCAGUGAAGAAAGAGAAGAUGAUGGGUCAAGUGGUGGAAUAGAGAUUGAUGAUGACGUAAAAGAAGAAUAUCAUGGUCGUGGUGCACAAGAAAGGGAAACAAUAAGAAAUAACAUUACUCUAAGUUUGAUGAGUGCACGUAAUAACGUGAACAUUUGAAUAUGUUAUGAUAUUUUUUGUGGUUACUUGAUGUGAACCAGAAAUCAAUUGUUAUUAAUGUUACUAAUAUAUUUGU
rnacentral:lncRNA from 1 species